CGUGGAGACAGGUGGUGCAUGGCUGUCGUCAGCUCGUGUCGUGAGAUGUUGGGUUAAGUCCCGCAACGAGCGCAACCCUCACCUCUUGUUGCCAUCAGGUCAUGCUGGGCACUCUAGAGGAACUGCCCCGGUCAACGGGGAGGAAGGCGGGGAUGACGUCAAGUCAUCAUGCCCCUUACGUCCUGGGCUACACACGUGCUACAAUGGCCGGUACAAAGGGAUGCCACACCGCGAGGUAGAGCUAAACCCAAAAAGCCAGUCUAAGUUCAGAUUGGAGUCUGCAACUCGACUCCAUGAAGGAGGAAUCGCUAGUAAUCGCGUAUCAGCACGACGCGGUGAAUACGUUCCCGGGCCUUGUACACACCGCCCGUCACACCACGAAAGCCUGCUGUACUCGAAGUCGCUGAG
rnacentral:rRNA from 1 species